CCUGUGCUCAAAAGUGGGACUUUUGGAAGGGAAUUGAAUUAUGGGUGCAGGACAGCUGAUUGCUAUUAGAAGGUGCUCAGAGGAGGCAGGCACUGUGGGCGUGGCCCAGAAGGGUGUAGCACUCUUUCUGCUUCCUGUCUGCCAUUGCCGUAAGCAGCUCUCCCCCACCAUGCCCUUCUGCCAUACCAUCCUGCCUCGGAGCCGGAGGACCAUGCAAGGACUGAAACUACUAAAAUGUGAGCCAAAAUACACCUUUCCUCUUUUAAGUUGUGGGUGUCAGGUAUUAUAUCUCAGCGAUGAGGAGGCGACUAAGAUGUGGCCCAUCAUUAUCUAGGUUGAUCUGAGAACAAACCGCAGCACCUGAAAGCACAUGGCCAGCUGAUGGAUGUUUGGCUCUGAUGGGCCAUUUUACAAGAUGCCUUAGGAAGGCAGGGAGUUUCAUCGCGAGUCCUUCAAACUGGUGCUGAGCCACAAACCAGCCAAGAUUGUAGAAUGUGUCACAUUCAGAAAGCAUCAAGCCAAUGCCAGCCCAGGCUGUGCUUCCAGAUGAGCAAGGCCCUCCUUCUGGGUUUGGAUACUGACUGAAGUUUUGCUUUCACGGUGACUGACACCUUCAUAAGGAUUCUAUCAGAUAAAAUUCCAGGUUUUUAAUUGCCAAAAGCCCAAGACCUCAUCUCCUCACACCUUGGCCCCCGACAGAGAAAUCCAAAGCAGAAGCUCUUUUUUUUAGAAAAAAAUUGAACUGACACAUAACAAUUGCAGGCAUUUGUGGUGUGAAUCACAGUGUGAUCGUUCAAUACAUAUGUACAGUGUGUAAAGAUCAGACCAGAGCAACUGUCAGUAAAUGGAGAAGUCAAGGAUGUUCACCAGAGGCUGCAGAACAUGCAAGUCAUGGAACAAGACCAAGGAAAAGGGAGACUUGAUUAUUUCUGUAAGGAAGAAGGAGGGGUGGUAGAUCGAGGGAACAAGGAAUAUCCUUGAAAAUGAGGUCAGUUAAAUGGACGAGAGGGAUACGAACAUGCAGUGGGGUAGGGUAUGAAUGAAACCAUCUGAAAAACCAAGAGAGGCCCACAUUCCCACUCAGAGGCAACCCAGUUGAGGGCUUGCCCAGGACCGCUCCCUGCUUGAGCUACCCAAGGGAGGAGACUUGCUAGGGAAGGACACAAUGCUUUCUUCCCCAGUUUUGCUCCUGAAUCCACACAGCAGCACACAAUGAUCCCCAGAAAACACCUGCUGACAUCAUUCCUGCCUUCUAGCAGAUGGGCAGUUUGGGGGAAGGCAGAUAAGCACAUGUUCAGUCCAUAGGGCGAUGGUUUCUGCCCCACGGUGACUGCUGAGGUCUCCAGUGCAGCUUCAAUGACACACAUGGUACCCCAUGGGCCCACCGAUGUUCCCCUCCUUGGAGCCAAGCUAGUGACCCACCUGUGAGCAGGAAAAGAGGGAAAUGGAGGACAGCUUUACAUGUUAACCCUUGACCUGGUUUGCCCUCUAAUUAAGAGCAGUUAACUGAGUUUUACUUCACCUCCAGGAGAGUAAAAGGACUGUGAAUUUAUCUACUCUCCUUGGAAUUCCAGAUAGUUUGGGAUCUUAUAUUUAUUUCCACUGACAGUGCAGAUUUAUAAAAAGAUACACAAAGGCAUGUGUCUUAAUUAGCAUUACCAAAAAAGGUCUUAUGAACUAAAGCACACACGAUUAGGUUUUCUUAAGGUAUUUUAUUUUCUAAAUGCAUUUAAUGUAAAAUUUCCCAUACUCAAAACAUGUUUAUUUAUGAAGACAAGGAGAGAGGAUUUUUGUUGGUUUCUCCCUGAAUGUGUUCCCCACUUUCCUCUUCCUAAGAGACCUGGAAUUUCCCAGCCAGAUAGCUUGGAUGAAAUUGGUUUCACCCUUUCAAGUCCUGGGAUGAUCCAUCCCGCCUAGUCAAUCAAAGCCAGUGAGAUUCAGUGAGGGGAUUUCAGUUCAGCUAUUGGAGAAGUGAUGUCUUCCUGCUAUGUACUACCUGGAAACUUGUACCAGGAGGGGAGGGCCUGCCUGUGAAUAAAACCGCCAAGCACCAAGGUGGCAGAGGUAAGAGGUGGAAGGGGUCCUAGUCACAGGAUUGAGGCCAUGAAUGUAGCCUCAUUUUGGAAAACUUCCUACAGGAAUCAAUGCAUAUGCUGAGCUGAGACAGCUUAGGUCAGGUUUUUCCAUUAUUUGCAACCAAAACAUCCUAUGAAAAUACCUAGCAUCUAUACAAUGAUGCAAGGAUCUAAAACUGUUUUUCGAUCAUUGAGCCUGGC
ensembl:lncRNA